UCUCUCACCGGUUCCCGGCCCCGGGUAUCUCUGGCCCCCGGCCCGGGGCUCUGCACGGAGCUGGAGGCUGGAGCCUGACCCACCGGGCCCCCGGCUGCUGCAUCGCUGAUAAUUGGGGGGGAAAGAAAAGAGUUUAAAGGUGACAUCCCCUCCCCCCCACGUGGUGAGCUCCAAACAACCUGGUUCAGAGCGGUCGCAGUUGUCUAGGAUGAGAGGGAGGGAGCCCUGUCUACUGGUGUUCAGAAAGGGCCUGGUAAAGGUCUACACUCGCGGCCCUCCGACCUGCUGCUUUCCGGUUAGAGCUAAAUAGAUACACUGUAUCCGUGGCCCUAAAAAUAAGUAAAUAAAGAGAAGGCUGCCCUGGAUAGAACUCUGACCCUCCCGUGAGUGAGUGAGUGAGUGAGUCACCGCAACCCAGCCUGAAUCUCACAUUUGCCUGGCACUCCCCCGGGGAAUACUGAGGAUGAGAAGAGUCCUAAUUUACCUGGGCUCUGACGGCUGGGUCACAGGGCUGCUGGAGCGAGCCACAAACAGGAGAGCUUGCUCCAUACUGCGUGUGCAACUGGGCCGUGAUUGGCGUGUGCCGGUGUGUGAUUCGUUCCGCCUUACCCUCACAUGCCUUUGUUAACAUUUAGUGACAUGCUUUUAGGUUUUGUGACUACCGAGGGUGGAAGGCUGUAAACUCAGUUUUAUUACUGUUUGCCAGGGCCCAGGGAUGUGUUGAGGAAAAAAAAGAAAAAAAAGUUAAAGAAAAUGGUUAUUGAACAGAACGCGUCUAAAGAGAAUGGGGUUUGAAACACAUAUCAUGAAGCUACAAGACAGUUUCUCUAAGAUACUAUGCAAUAAGAACUUGCUGAGUUUCUGGCUACAUCCACCAUGGGGUGAAGGUGCCUCUAUGGAGAUGGAGGAGGUUUAUGGAUCUGUGGGGGUGCUCGUUGGGAACCCUUGGCUGAAGGAUGUGCUCAGCGCCAUCACAAGCACAGAGGAGAGAGCGGAAGGGGAGAGGAACCCGCUUAAGGGAGGAGGAGUGGGUACUGAAAACCAUCUCGAGGAUAACCAAAGGCUGCUGGAGCAGAAUCAUCGUGAGCUCGUUCUUGUGGAUAAACAUGUUGAUUUCUGGGAAUAAAUCACAUAUGUCUGGUCUACUCACUUAUUAGCCUCCUGAAAAUUACAUUAUAGGGAUUUUUUUUUCUUUACAUCAUUUUCUCAAUUGCUACUUGGAAAUUGUCAUCACAGCAGGCAAGCAGUGCUCACUGAAAGAGAACCGGCGCUAUAGCUAUGUGUCUGUGAACAGGAAUACAUACAUACUUUGGCCAGGAGCACCGCUUCUAGUCCCCCGAAGGAGGGGGAGGAGCCAAGCUCACUGAAGACCAGCAGGGGCCAUGCACGCAGUCAGCCCAUCACUUGGCAGUGAGAGGCCCCUGUGUGGCACUCUGGCACAUAAAUAAAAAUGGUCUCCACACGAUGCA
rnacentral:lncRNA from 1 species